rnacentral:rRNA from 1 species
UACGAAGGGGGCUAGCGUUGUUCGGAAUUACUGGGCGUAAAGCGCGCGCAGGCGGCCUUUCAAGUCAGGGGUGAAAGCCCGGAGCUCAACUCCGGAAUUGCCUUUGAAACUGUCAGGCUUGAGUUCGGGAGAGGUGAGUGGAACUGCGAGUGUAGAGGUGAAAUUCGUAGAUAUCGAGAGGAACACCGGUGGCGAAGGCGGCCUUCUGGACAGUGACUGACGCUGAGACGCGAAAGCGUGGGGAGCAAACAGG